rnacentral:rRNA from 1 species
UACGUAGGGGCAAGCGUUGUCCGGAAUCAUUGGGCGUAAAGAGCGUGUAGGCGGUUCGGUAAGUCGGCUGUGAAAGUCCAGGGCUCAACCCUGGGAUGCCGGUCGAUACUGCCGGACUAGAGUUCGGAAGAGGCGAGUGGAAUUCCCGGUGUAGCGGUGAAUGCGCAGAUAUCGGGAGGAACACCUAUGGGCGAAGGCAGCUGCGCUGGGACGUUACUGACGCUGGAGACGCGAAAGCGUGGGGAGCAAACAGGAU